AGGCAUCCUUUGUCUGAGUAUCCAGUGCGUCGUCUAUAUCGGGAAGUCUUAGUCGUGUUACUCCUUUGAGGUCCUCAGGGCCCCUUGUCUAAGACUGGGGCUCUAGGACUUCAAACCUUAGGCUUAAAUUAAAAUAGUAGUACUAAUGAUCAAGAUUAUCUAGUCGUGUUGUGCCGAGCCAACCAUGGACUGGACCUUCGAGUUCCAGUCUAUCAUGGAGCUCUGGGACUUGCUGCAGCGCAUGAAAGAGCAAGGAGCCGCGCAGUCAGACAGCGUGAACCAUCCCCAGCAGCCGGCGGAGCACUGAACAUGUCACUUUCAGCUUAUACAAACUACUUACUUCUACUAUCUAAGUAAGCAGUCUGUCAGAGCUGAAACACGUUGCAUUUUCCAUGCUAUUAACAUGCUUU